CGUAGUUAAAGUAGACAUCCGUGGAAGGAAGAACGAGAAAAGGAACUCAAAGUAGUAUUUAAUGUUCUAGAAAUCACCGCGAACGACAACCUGGCGCGUGCUUUUCCAAUUUCAGCUUUACUGCCAUCAACCCGCUGCUGCUCUUUGGUCUUUCAAGUGCAUGGCCGUUGGCCGGUGGUCAGUGGCAGCUUAGUGGAUUCAUUACGGCUGCUUGAAUUACAGACAUCACUUUGCUGCUGGACUUGCUUUUUCUCCCCACUGGCAAUGGUAAUGGCAUUAAAUCGUCGUUGGAAUAUGACUGACUGUUACGCAGCAACAAGAAUUACUUAGUCAUUUUUGGAAUUAGACGUAUUUCUCUGGCUUUCUACAGUUCAAGACACCUGUGAGUCCUGGAAUCCGUGUCGCCAGCGACAUACCAUUUGGUGGAAGACCAUUUUUGAAGGCUGACAAC